rnacentral:rRNA from 1 species
GGUUAAGCGACUAAGCGUACACGGUGGAUGCCCUGGCAGUCAGAGGCGAUGAAGGGCGUGCUAAUCUGCGAUAAGCGCCGGUAAGGUGAUAUGAACCGUUAUAACCGGCGAUACCCGAAUGGGGAAACCCAGUGUGACUCGUCACACUAUCAUUAACUGAAUCCAUAGGUUAAUGAGGCGAACCGGGGGAACUGAAACAUCUAAGUACCCCGAGGAAAAGAAAUCAACCGAGAUUCCCCCAGUAGCGGCGAGCGAACGGGGAGGAGCCCAGAGCCUGAAUCAGCAUGUGUGUUAGUGGAAGCGUCUGGAAAGGCGCGCGAUACAGGGUGACAGCCCCGUACACAAAAGCGCAUGUGCUGUGAGCUCGAUGAGUAGGGCGGGACACGUGGUAUCCUGUCUGAAUAUGGGGGGACCAUCCUCCAAGGCUAAAUACUCCUGACUGACCGAUAGUGAACCAGUACCGUGAGGGAAAGGCGAAAAGAACCCCGGCGAGGGGAGUGAAAAAGAACCUGAAACCGUGUACGUACAAGCAGUGGGAGCCCCACCACUAAGCCAGUGGUGAACUCCACAUACGCAUCCUUUGCUGAGGAUACGGUUAACGGAGCGAAAGCGACGUUCAACCGCAAAACAAGCAGAGGGGGCUUAGUGGUGGGGUGACUGCGUACCUUUUGUAUAAUGGGUCAGCGACUUAUAUUCUGUAGCAAGGUUAACCGAAUAGGGGAGCCGGAGGGAAACCGAGUCUUAAUUGGGCGUUAAGUUGCAGGGUAUAGACCCGAAACCCGGUGAUCUAGCCAUGGGCAGGUUGAAGGUUGGGUAACACUAACUGGAGGACCGAACCGACUAAUGUUGAAAAAUUAGCGGAUGACCUGUGGCUGGGGGUGAAAGGCCAAUCAAACCGGGAGAUAGCUGGUUCUCCCCGAAAGCUAUUUAGGUAGCGCCUCGUGAACUCAUCUCCGGGGGUAGAGCACUGUUUCGGCUAGGGGGCCAUCCCGGCUUACCAACCCGAUGCAAACUGCGAAUACCGGAGAAUGUUAUCACGGGAGACACACGGCGGGUGCUAACGUCCGUCGUGAAGAGGGAAACAACCCAGACCGCCAGCUAAGGUCCCAAAGUCAUGGUUAAGUGGGAAACGAUGUGGGAAGGCCCAGACAGCCAGGAUGUUGGCUUAGAAGCAGCCAUCAUUUAAAGAAAGCGUAAUAGCUCACUGGUCGAGUCGGCCUGCGCGGAAGAUGUAACGGGGCUAAACCAUGCACCGAAGCUGCGGCAGCGACGCUGAUGCGUUGUUGGGUAGGGGAGCGUUCUGUAAGCCUGUGAAGGUGUGUCGUGAGGCAUGCUGGAGGUAUCAGAAGUGCGAAUGCUGACAUAAGUAACGAUAAAGCGGGUGAAAAGCCCGCUCGCCGGAAGACCAAGGGUUCCUGUCCAACGUUAAUCGGGGCAGGGUGAGUCGACCCCUAAGGCGAGGCCGAAAGGCGUAGUCGAUGGGAAACGGGUUAAUAUUCCCGUACUUGGUGUUACUGCGAAGGGGGGACGGAGAAGGCUAUGUUGGCCGGGCGACGGUUGUCCCGGUUUAAGCGUGUAGGUGUGUGUUCCAGGUAAAUCCGGUUCACUUUAACACUGAGGCGUGAUGACGAGGCACUACGGUGCUGAAGCAACAAAUGCCCUGCUUCCAGGAAAAGCCUCUAAGCAUCAGGUAACAUCAAAUCGUACCCCAAACCGACACAGGUGGUCAGGUAGAGAAUACCAAGGCGCUUGAGAGAACUCGGGUGAAGGAACUAGGCAAAAUGGUGCCGUAACUUCGGGAGAAGGCACGCUGACACGUAGGUGAAGUGAUUUACUCAUGGAGCUGAAGUCAGUCGAAGAUACCAGCUGGCUGCAACUGUUUAUUAAAAACACAGCACUGUGCAAACACGAAAGUGGACGUAUACGGUGUGACGCCUGCCCGGUGCCGGAAGGUUAAUUGAUGGGGUCAGCGCAAGCGAAGCUCCUGAUCGAAGCCCCGGUAAACGGCGGCCGUAACUAUAACGGUCCUAAGGUAGCGAAAUUCCUUGUCGGGUAAGUUCCGACCUGCACGAAUGGCGUAAUGAUGGCCAGGCUGUCUCCACCCGAGACUCAGUGAAAUUGAACUCGCUGUGAAGAUGCAGUGUACCCGCGGCAAGACGGAAAGACCCCGUGAACCUUUACUAUAGCUUGACACUGAACAUUGAGCCUUGAUGUGUAGGAUAGGUGGGAGGCUUUGAAGCGUGGACGCCAGUCUGCGUGGAGCCGACCUUGAAAUACCACCCUUUAAUGUUUGAUGUUCUAACGUGGACCCGUAAUCCGGGUUGCGGACAGUGUCUGGUGGGUAGUUUGACUGGGGCGGUCUCCUCCUAAAGAGUAACGGAGGAGCACGAAGGUUGGCUAAUCCUGGUCGGACAUCAGGAGGUUAGUGCAAUGGCAUAAGCCAGCUUGACUGCGAGCGUGACGGCGCGAGCAGGUGCGAAAGCAGGUCAUAGUGAUCCGGUGGUUCUGAAUGGAAGGGCCAUCGCUCAACGGAUAAAAGGUACUCCGGGGAUAACAGGCUGAUACCGCCCAAGAGUUCAUAUCGACGGCGGUGUUUGGCACCUCGAUGUCGGCUCAUCACAUCCUGGGGCUGAAGUAGGUCCCAAGGGUAUGGCUGUUCGCCAUUUAAAGUGGUACGCGAGCUGGGUUUAGAACGUCGUGAGACAGUUCGGUCCCUAUCUGCCGUGGGCGCUGGAGAACUGAGGGGGGCUGCUCCUAGUACGAGAGGACCGGAGUGGACGCAUCACUGGUGUUCGGGUUGUCAUGCCAAUGGCACUGCCCGGUAGCUAAAUGCGGAAGAGAUAAGUGCUGAAAGCAUCUAAGCACGAAACUUGCCCCGAGAUGAGUUCUCCCUGAGACUUUAGGUCUCCUGAAGGAACGUUGAAGACGACGACGUUGAUAGGCCGGGUGUGUAAGCGCAGCGAUGCGUUGAGCUAACCGGUACUAAUGAACCGUGAGGCUUAACCUU